rnacentral:rRNA from 1 species
UGGGGAAUAUUGCACAAUGGGGGAAACCCUGAUGCAGCGACGCCGCGUGAACGAAGAAGGUAUUCGUAUCGUAAAGUUCUGUCCUAUGGGAAGAUAAUGACAGUACCAUAGAAGAAAGCUCCGGCUAAAUACGUGCCAGCAGCCGCGGUAAUACGUAUGGAGCGAGCGUUGUCCGGAAUUAUUGGGCGUAAAGGGUACGCAGGCGGUUUAAUAAGUCGAAUGUUAAAGAUCGGGGCUCAACCCCGUAAAGCAUUGGAAACUGAUAAACUUGAGUAGUGGAGAGGAAAGUGGAAUUCCUAGUGUAGUGGAGAAAUACGGAGAUAUUAGGAGGAAUACCAGUAGCGAAGGCGACUUUCUGGACACAAACUGACGCUGAGGUACGAAAGCGUGGGGAGCAAACAGG